CGGCGGACGGGUGAGUAACACGUGGAUAACCUACCUAUAAGACUGGGAUAACUUCGGGAAACCGGAGCUAAUACCGGAUAAUAUUUUAAACCGCAUGGUUCAAAAGUGAAAGACGGUCUUGCUGUCACUUAUAGAUGGAUCCGCGCUGCAUUAGCUAGUUGGUAAGGUAACGGCUUACCAAGGCAACUAUGCAUAGCCGACCUGAGAGGGUGAUCGGCCACACUUGAACUGAGACACGGUCCAG
rnacentral:rRNA from 1 species